rnacentral:rRNA from 1 species
UACGAGGGGGGCGAGCGUUGUUCGGAAUUAUUGGGCGUAAAGGGUGCGUAGGCGGUUCCGCAAGUCCUGUGUGAAAUCUUCGGGCUCAACUCGAAGUCUGCACGGGAAACUGCGGGGCUUGAGUGUGGGAGAGGUGAGUGGAAUUCCAGGUGUAGCGGUGAAAUGCGUAGAUAUCGGGAGGAACACCUGUGGCGAAGGCGGCUUCCUGGUCUGCAACUGACGCUGUGGCGCGAAAGCUAGGGGAGCAAACGGG